AGUCCGAUGGUGUAAUGGUAGCACAGGGCUCUUUGACAGCUCUAGUCAUGGUUCGAAUCCAUGUCGGACUG
rnacentral:tRNA from 1 species